rnacentral:misc_RNA from 1 species
CAACAUACUGAAGAAUUUUAUUAGGGUAUUCCCAACAUCUAGAAGUGCAAAAUAAGUAUCUUCAAACUGACUAUAUAACAAAGACGUCUUCAUAGGACUCCCCAAUUAAUAACAUCUCCAAUAAGUAAUUAUUACUAGACACCAAUGCUUCAACUAAAUAAAUUUAGCUGUUUUACCGAACUGCUUCCUCCCUACCUAGGCGAUCAAAGUUAAAGCUUCUUGAACUCAUUUGACAUCAACCAUCCAAUUCAAACGGUAGGGGUCAGGAAUUUGUAUUGUUGCUUUUACUUUUGUCUGCAUCUUGACGCACAAAUUGCCCUCGCAUGCGUGGCCUUUGUUCUGCAAGUCUCUUUCUACUCUGGUACCGGACCUUCUUCUCAAAGCAUCUCUCCUUCCUCUUUUGCCGGAAUUUAAUCAGAGCAGCCUCUCGUUGAGCCGAGUGAUCACCACUUCUAGUUGCACUUCCACUCCCACUUCCAAUUUCACAUUUUUCACCAGUUUCAUUUUCAGCAACCAAAUUGGUUCCUUCAGCAACUACAGCAGUGCUGCUCCCAUUUUGGCCACUGCUUCCAUUUUGCCCAUUGCUUCCAUUGUUACUUCCUGAUGCACUUCCAUAAUUAGCAGCAUUUCCUUCAACAGGAGUACCUACCAUGUCAGAUGUUCCACAAUCGGGAGCAGUUUCAACAGCAUUUCGCAAAGACGAAGCAUCAGCAUUAAGCAGCUGUUGUCGCUGCUGCAAGCUAAGCACAUGGUGGUGAUGGUGAUGGUAGUGAUGAUGGUGGUGCUGAACUUGGAACUUCUGGUGCAUUGCUCUUGCUUGGCCCACGGCUGCCUUUGCAGUAUCUUGUGUUCCUGGAACCAUUGCUUGAAGAGAAGAAGUAUGUCCAUGUUGCACUGGUUGAAAUGCAGAACAGGAAUGGGCAUUGACUGCAGGUUUGUUUAUUGGUUUGUCAAUUAAUGUGUCUGGUUUGAUGAAGAAAUUAUUUGUCGACGAGCCCAUGUCAUUGUUGUUACUACUUCCAUUUGAGCGCUGAUUAGGGGUACUGCUCGACUUGGAUUGCAAGUUGUGAAUUGAUUCUGCUUUUGCAACUUCUGAACUAUUAUUAACUGGUGAACAGCUGCCCACGUUUCCAGUUGGAGCCUGAUUAGCAGUUGAAGCAGCAUUAUACCUAGAGAACGCUGACAGAUCUGAAUGCCUGAGUAUAUUUCGCUCUUGCACACCAGUCCCAUUCUCUCCAACAUCUCGAAGUUGCUUCAAACUAAGUUCAAGUGAAGGCAUGUCUUUACUGUCAUAGGUGGCAAUUUCUUUGAUGUUUGUGAUCUUGGAAGGAUCAUUUGGAACUUCAUUGGCAGUACUUUCUACUUGAGGCGUACAUGUGUUGGUUAUGUCACCCAUAUAACCAACAUCCUUGUCCUUCAGGUCAUCUUCCCGUGUUUCCUUGUUCAGCUUUAGGUUUCUACCCAUAUUCUCAUUAUCUUUAGGAUCUAACUCCAAAUGUUUGUCCUUCAUAGAAGCUGCUAAACCAUCCAUAACUUUACCUGAUAGGCCUUCGAGCUCUGGAACAUUAGCAACGCCCAUGUUCAAAUCUUUAACCGUUCUAACAUUUCCCAGUUCAUCCUUCUCAUUGAGACAUCUUCUUGUGGCAUUUGCAGGCACCCAGGUAGCACUAAGUGCUUCUGGUCUUGAAUGGAUAACCUGGGCACAAGUGCUAUCAGGGGGAUCUGCCAAUUCAUUCCAUGGUGACAUGGGUUGGGGGCUGUCGACUUCAAUGGCCCUUUUAGACCACGAACUCUGAGUGCCACUUCCAUUGUCACUUCCGUCCCUGUCGUCCAGAUCAAAGCUUCCAUUCUCAGCUUCAUCAUUGCUAUCAGUGUUGUUUCCCGACAUUUCAACACUUUUAGAUUUCGUCGACUUUUGAGUUUGUAUACCACUUUCACUUCCACUUCCGCUUGAACUAUGGCAUUUCCUCCAAACAUGCUGCCACAGAUUUUUAAGCUCAUUCUUUCGAAUA